UACGGAAGGGGCAAGCGUUGUUCGGAAUCAUUGGGCGUAAAGGGUGCGUAGGCGGCCGCGCAAGUCUGGCGUGAAAGCCCCGGGCUCAGCCCGGGAAGGGCGCUCGAAACGGCGCGGCUCGAGUGCCGGAGGGGAGAGUGGAAUUCCUGGUGUAGCGGUGAAAUGCGUAGAUAUCAGGAGGAAUACCGGUGGCGAAAGCGACUCUCUGGACGGCAACUGACGCUGAGGCACGAAAGCGUGGGGAGCAAACAGG
rnacentral:rRNA from 1 species